UACGGAAGGCAGCAGUGGGGAAUAUUGCACAAUGGGCGAAAGCCUGAUGCAGCUAUGCCGCGUGUAUGAAGAAGGCCUUAGGGUUGUAAAGUACUUUCAUCGGGGAGGAAAAACAAAACUAAUAAUUUUAUUUCUUGACGUUACCCGAAAAAGAAGCACCGGCUAACUCCGUGCCAGCAGCCGCGGUAAUACGGAGGGUGCUAGCGUUAAUCAGAAUUACUGGGCGUAAAGAGCACGUAGGUGGUUUUUUUAAGUCAGAUGUGAAAUCCCUGGGCUUAACCUGGAACUGCAUUUUGAAACUGAAAUACUAGAGUAUCGUAGAGGGAGGUAGAAUUCUAGGUGUAGCGGUGAAAUGCGUAGAUAUCUGGAGGAAUACCUGUGGCGAAAGCGGCCUCCUAAACGAAUACUGACACUGAGGUGCGAAAGCGUGGGAGCAAACAGGGAUUAGAUACC
rnacentral:rRNA from 1 species